rnacentral:lncRNA from 1 species
AGCUCCCACACAGCCUGCAUCCUGAAAGGCUGGUCUCACUCCUACUGUGCUCCUGCAACAGCACCAAGUAUAUUUCCAGGCAACUGGUGAGCAGGGCUGAGAACUUGCCCCAGACCACAAGUCUCCCAGCUGAGAAAGCACAGCUCCUCAGUUGUCCCACAGAGCCUGCAGUGGCAAUCCACCUCCUUCAAAAGUUCUGUGAAUUCUCUCAGCUUUCCUGGACAGGCUAGAUGCUGACAGCUUGAUCUUGGACCUCAAGUUUUCCGAAUUGUGAUAAAUAGAUGUUUAUAAUAAAGCCACCCAGUCUGUGGUAUCUUGUUGUGAUAGCUGGACCUGACUAAUACACAGGGCAUGUGGCAAGUUUAAGGGGAAGAUGUCUUUCUGAAACAUUUGAAUCAAUCAGAAGUUCUUUUGGAACAACUAAGGAAAGAUGUCAGCUUGCUGCCUCAAAAUGCUGUUUGAUGACACUGGUUUAGAAAAUAGAAAACAGAUUUUUCUUUUCUCCGAAGAAAUAGAAAACUUUCCUCUGUACUCCAAGGGAUAUACAGGAAGAAUAGAAAUAUGAAUUUGAACUGUGACUAAGAGUCAGCAUGUACUUUCCCUUCUCUGGAAAAAGAAAAGAAAAAAGCUGGAGAAGUAAAGCUCAGAAGCACGGUUGGGUAUGGCUGAGUUAAGUAGACUACAUGAAAAAUAAACAGUCAACAAUCUUACAGAGAAAA